CUAUGAGGUAGCCAUUUUUUCACGUGAAGGUGAGCGGAUUCGGCUCUAUCAAGAUCAAUCUAUUUAUAACCUAUUUAUUAAAUUUGCAGUUUAUGCCUGCUAGGUCAUUUAUGGAGAGUGAUGUACAUGCAGAUAAUACAAGGGUGCAUUUCUCUUACUGUCAAGAAGAAGAUUUAGGUGGAAUUCUGUUCACCGAACAAAUCUUCCUUUUGGCGAUUGGAGACAAGGAGUUGAGUGGAAGGUUUUGGUUCGGCAGAUUGUUCUUCACUAUAUUAUGUCAGAUUUCGUCAUCAAAAUAGUCUUCUGCGGAGAAAUGGCACAAUCUUCUCAUGCCAUUUCGUGGGAGUAACACAACUGCACAAGUAGCAUAGAUGCAGCGAGGCCACUCUAUGACGGAGUGGAGCGGAACACUGGAUCGGUUCAAUAAAUUGAAGAUUAAAGAGUGCAUGAUAGCAUGAUAUAACUCAUGUCCAUGGUAGGUAAACCUUCUGAUUGCAUGGUUUUCUUUAAGUGACCCACUAGAUAAGAUUUGAUUAUUUCAACCUUGAACCGGUGGGUUUCUACGGAACUAUGUAUGAUUUAAACAAUGGUUGAAAUUAUUUAUCUGAGUUUGUUUCAAACAAAUAAAUUUGUAUUGGAAGACAAUUUCAUACUUUCAAUAUGGAUACUGAAGGAUAUAACUAUAUUAUGGGUGAUAUAUAUGUUGAUAGUACGAUUUCAA